ensembl:lncRNA
CUGUGAGCAAAAUAUUUAAGAUAUAAACUGAUAUGAAUGAACUGCAAGAUGGAAAAAAUACUUUUUUAUUUUUUUUAAUUUACAUUAAAAGGUAUUAAAAGCAUGGUACAGUAAAUGUUAUUACUGUGAUAUCUGUCAUAUAAAAGCACAUCAAAACUAUCAUUACAGUGGUACAACCAUAGUUUGGUGAUUAUUGUGCUAUUACUAUUCCAUAGUAAAACUACAGUUACUGUGGUAAAAACAUGGUAAAUGUCCUGUUUACUGGGUUUUAACUUCAAAUUUCAUUUGUUACUAUUGUAAGUGUCGUGGUCACCAUGAUUUUACUACAAAUACAACUUACAUCUUAGAACCUGAAUAUAAAACUGAUCCAAGGUCUAUAGCACGUCACGUGACAGAUAGAGUUUAAUCACCCUAGUUAGCAGGUGUGUUCAUUUAGUUAAACACAAUGAAACUCAAAGACAGCCUCGGAUGACUGAUACAGCGAGUAAACAUACAGCGCUAAUCUGAUUUUUAAAGAAGACAGAAUACAUUUUAUAACAGGCAUUAAAAGAGGAUAUUUAUGAUUACUCACCCAACCUGUGGCACAUGGCAAAUAUCGCGAUGUGUGCUGAAUGAGACUUCUUGAACGUGAUUUCAUAGUGAUAAACAUCUCAUGCCCUUCGCGUCUGAGUAUUGACGCCAAAAGUUUCCCACUGAAAGCAAUGUAGGUCCUAUUUCUUUGUUAUAGUGAUGCCGAGGGGCACCUUUGACGUCUACACAGUGAUGCUAAAGGCGCUUGACCUUUAGUUGUUGACGCCUUGGGAGUGAGAAUGGGUUGAAAAUAGCCCAGAAUAUUUAAAGUGAUAGGCUUACGUUGACAGUUGACAAGAUGGCGCCCCCCAUGGCAGACGUCUUUGUUCACACCUCUCGAGAACGUUCCCCUUAUAUUAUAAUUUUAUUUAUUAUUUUAGUACUUUUACUUCAGAAAUCCAUCGGACACAUAACAUAUGACAGAGGAACUUUAUUGAAGAUUGGAAUGAGAACUCAAGAACCGUCUUUUAGUCUCCCGGAUUUGGAUUGCAUUAUACACCCGGCCUCAUGCGGAGCUAUCCUAUCAUCACCGAUCUCAACUGGUAAGCCUAACCGACAGGAAGAGCGGCUGAAGCGGAGGAGAGUCAAACGAUGGGGACUGCAUGCACAGGUGCUCCUCUCAUGAGUUUUUCCAUAUUUGGUUGUUCCUGUUCCUGUCCCUGUUGUGUUGAUUUGGUUCCAGGUGUUCCUCGUAUAUAUCCAUUGAUCCCAGGUGUGUCUCGUCAUCAUGUGUAUAUAAAGUGUUCCCUGUUCUUAGUUUGGUGUCUGCUGUUAUAUGUCUUAUUUGUCAUUCCUUCGCCUUGUGAAGUGUGACAAGGUGUAUUUAGCAGGAGCAUUAAAAAGUUGAAUGAACAAAUAUAAAAAUAAAACACUAUAUAUU